UAGAUAAGACGCGUGGCGAUAGCAAGGUGUUAUCGCCGGUAGUGGUCCCACACGUGCUGUUUCCCUCUUUACUGCGAGGGAAGGUGCAGCUUAUAUAACCCGCAGCGCAACCAACUCUGAAAAGAAAGCCAUCCUGACGACUGGUGUGAGCAACAUCUUCGUGAGCGGCGGACGGGUUCCUUCGGCAGCCGGCAGAUUACGGCAGUGGUCUACUGCGAUGAACUGCGCUUUUGUCUUUGCUUGCCGGUACCGUCCAAGAGGAAUUCAGCUUUCUCGACAGUCCCGUCCACGUACCCACGCCGGUGGCACGGGACCUGCUACAGGAGAGACGUCGCUCAGUACGCUAGUCUCAACAGCUCUGCAGUUCCUCCGCCGUCCUCGGACACCCCGCUGCGCCUUAACUUGACAGUGCCGACGC